rnacentral:ncRNA from 1 species
AACCAGAUACUGCUAUCAUUAGUAUACUUGUAUAGGUUGCAAUAACAAGGUCCAAGCAACUGUUUACCAAAAACACAGGUCUCCGCUAAGUCGUAAGACGAUGCAUGGGGGCUGACGCCUGCCCAGUGCCAGAAGGUUAAAGGAGUUGGUUAGGUUUCCGAAGCUAAUAACUGAAGCCCUGGUGAACGGCGGCCGUAACUAUAACGGUCCUAAGGUAGCGAAAUUCCUUGUCGGGUAAGUUCCGACCCGCACGAAAGGCGUAAUGAUUUGGAUACUG